CGCGUAGGCGGUUUGAUAAGUCAGAUGUGAAAGCCCACGGCUUAACUGUGGAAGUGCAUUUGAAACUGUCAGACUUGAGUAUCAGAGGGGAAAGUGGAAUUCCCGGUGUAGAGGUGAAAUUCGUAGAUAUCGGGAGGAAUACCGGGUGGCGAAGGCGACUUUCUGGCUGAAUACUGACGCUGAGGCGCGAAAGCGUGGGGAGCAAACA
rnacentral:rRNA from 1 species